UAGGGAAUCUUCGGCAAUGGGGGCAACCCUGACCGAGCAACGCCGCGUGAGUGAAGAAGGUUUUCGGAUCGUAAAGCUCUGUUGUAAGUCAAGAACGAGUGUGAGAGUGGAAAGUUCACACUGUGACGGUAGCUUACCAGAAAGGGACGACUAACUACGUGCCAGCAGCCGCGGUAAUACGUAGGUCCCGAGCGUUGUCCGGAUUUAUUGGGCGUAAAGCGAGCGCAGGCGGUUUGAUAAGUCUGAAGUUAAAGGCUGUGGCUCAACCAUAGUUCGCUUUGGAAACUGUCAAACUUGAGUGCAGAAGGGGAGAGUGGAAUUCCAUGUGUAGCGGUGAAAUGCGUAGAUAUAUGGAGGAACACCGGUGGCGAAAGCGGCUCUCUGGUCUGUAACUGACGCUGAGGCUCGAAAGCGUGGGGAGCGAACAGGAUUAGAUACCCUGGUAGUCCACGCCGUAAACGAUGAGUGCUAGGUGUUGGAUCCUUUCCGGGAUUCAGUGCCGCAGCUAACGCAUUAAGCACUCCGCCUGGGGAGUACGACCGCAAGGUUG
rnacentral:rRNA from 1 species